GAUCAUGGCUCAGGACGAACGCUGGCGGCGUUCUUAACACAUGCAAGUCGAACGAGAAUCUGUGGAUCGAGGAUUCGUCUAAGUGAAGCAGAGGACAGUGGCGGACGGGUGAGUAACGCGUGAGGAACCUGCCUUUCAGAGGGGGACAACAGUUGGAAACGACUGCUAAUACCGCAUGAUACAUUUGGGUGGCAUCAUCUGAAUGUCAAAGAUUUAUCGCUGAAAGAU
rnacentral:rRNA from 1 species